rnacentral:lncRNA from 1 species
GUCUCGCGUGGCCGCCUUGGAACGCAUCACCGUUCGCGUGACCGUACAUGCGAACGACCAGGCGUUGGGAUCCAGCAUGGGGCGAACAUAUUCGCUCGCUAUCCGGUUGCGGUGAGUCGGACUUCUAGAUUUGUCGCGCGCCCAUCGGCAUGUUUUGUGGGUAGCAACUCGGCUAGCAGGCAUUGAUCUAUGAAAGGUGCAAUAAAUGCCCUUGUGAUUGUUUGCA